rnacentral:pre_miRNA from 10 species
CGACACGUCAAAGUGGUCAGUGAUGUGUCGCAAAAUGAAAUUCAUAUCACAGCCAGCUUUGAUGUGUUGUG